CCCUCAGGAGACUCUCCUCCCCGCCCACUCUCCCUGGUCGACUCUGAUUGGCUGGGCUGCCGCGCGUUCGCGCUGCCAUUGGCCCAGAGUCCGCCGGGAGUGGGCGGAGGAAGAUUUACCUCAGCCGGUCCUGGCGGGACAGUCAUUUUGCUCUGUGGUGGCGGUUGGCGGCGGUUGGGCUGGAGCAGCGGUCCCCGCGGUCCGGUUCUAGCCAGUAAAUGACCUGCGACAUAACUAUGCAAAACAAAUGGGGAAGAAAUUCAAGAUAAUGAUAACUUAUAUAACAGGAAAGCUAUUGAAAAUGCAAAUAUGAAGCAUCUGAAUGAAGGACUAAUUACCUUGAAUUCAGCUUUUGUGAAGUUGUCUCUUCACUUUGCUGUGUUGACACUGCUUGUUUGAUGUAGUUGACAGGUAUUCAGUGACUGAAGAUAUACAGGGUGAUCAAGGUUAUGAAAGAUGGCAAAUCUAGAUAAAAGUAAACCGAAGAUAUUAAAAGCCAAAAAAACAAUGCCCACAAGUUGCCGGAAGCAAGUAGAGAUCCUGAAUAAGACAAAGAAUGUUGAAGCAUUGAAAACAGCAUCAACUGGGAGUAAUGUUCCAACUGGUAAUCUGAAUUUAAGUACUGGUUUCAUAAUAAGCACAUCUAGACUCUCUCAAAAUGUUGGUUUCUCAUUGGACUCUAACAAAAAUACAGUGUCCUCAGAAAAAAACACAAUAAUCCCUCAGAAUUUAAUAAAACCAGUUGAAGAAAAUGUUGAUUCAGAAACCAGAUUGGAAUGUGUUAAUGAACAUGUUACAUGUCCUAACCAAAAGCCAAGAAAAGCAAUAGAUUCUCCCAGCAAACUCUGUAUACAAAAAGCAAAAGAUUCAUGGGAUACUUCUGAAAGCCAUUUUGAAUAUCAUACAAGUGUAACAAGUUCCUUUUUUGAACAUAACAAGAAUUCUCAUCUGAAAUCCAUUUGGUGGCCACCCUCUCUAUUGAGUAGUAUACUUCAAAUGCCAAAGGCUACAGAAAUGAAUACCUUGGAUGAUAAGAGAAUCGACAACAUGAUAUCCCUUUCAAAAACAAGCUCCAAAUCAGUGUCACUUCAUAAAAGGCAAAAUGACAUUUUAAGUUCAGAUUCAGAUUUUGUGCCUGUUGAAAAAACACCUAACUUGAGUUCAGUCAGUUCCAGCAACUGUGCUGCUGAAGUUUUGAAAAGUGAAGAAUACAAUAAAAACUGUUAUUCCAGCAUUUCAAAUUGUGAAAGUACCGAAUCAGAAUGGCAAUCAUCACUUGACACUGAUGGAAAUAACAGCCAAAAUCAGAAGAAGAGGAUGUUUUCAGAAAACAAAGAAAAUGCUAAGCGCAUGAAAACUUCAGAGCAAAUUAAUGAAAAUAGUCGUGUAACCCCAGAAAGGCAAACAGCAUUGCUGGAAAAGGUCAAACAUUUGAUUCAACAGGAAAUCUGUAAUAUAAAUUUCAAACAAUUUGAUAACAAACUGAAAGAAUUGAAUGAACGCAUUGAGAAGAUGCAGUGCAAGAACAAACAUGAAGCAGUAGCUAAUGAGCUCUUUGCAAAAAUAGCAAAACUUCAGAGACGUAUUAAAGCAGUAUUAUCAUCUCAGAGUAUUCGUAUAGAACCAAAUGUGUCUACUAAUACAGCCUAUAAGGUUACAAAUUUAGAGACCAUGAAUUUGGGUAUGAAUUGCGAGUCAGUUAAAAGUCUUUGUGAAAGAAUGACUUCUGUGAACUCUGAAGCAAGUGAAAAGAUAAAUCUGUCACCAGAUCAUGUUGAGUUCGUUUCUGAUAGUAACAGUGAUGAUGUUAUGUUGGUUUCUGUGGAAAGUCCUAAUUUGACAACUCCAAUUACAUCAAAUCCAACAGAUCUGAGAAAAGUUACAUCUGAAAAUUCUAGUAGUUCACUUAAUGUGGAAACAGAAGUUGUGGCUGCAGAGAUGAGGAAACUUGAUUGUGUAAUCGAUUUGACAAAAGAAGGCCUACCCAUCUGCGACACAGAAAGUCCAGUGUCUACCUUGGAGUCAGUGUUGAAAGCUGUUUUAAACACCAAAGAAACAACCCCAGUGGCACAGAAAGCAGCCCAGAAUGCAGCCCAGGUUCUUGAUUCCUUUGAUCACCUGCCACCUCUCCCAGAACCACCACCACUACAACCUGAGAUAGUAGACAAAAUUCGAGAUACGCUGCCUCCCCAGAAGCCUGAGCUCAAAGUGAAACGGGUGCUGAGACCCAGGGGCAUUGCUCUGACUUGGAACAUAUCCAAAAUCAACCCCAAGUGUGCACCUGUGGAAAGCUACCACCUCUUCCUGUGCCACGAGAGCUCUAACAUUAGGGGCUAUGGGUGUUAAUUUCUCCCGCCGUGAGUGUGGCUACGAUACCUUUACCCUCACUCUGAAGUUGCAGCAGAGCUGGGUAUAACAUUCUGCAUGUGAAGGAGACCCAGAUCUCCUGAGAGUCCUGGCUUCAAAGAAGAGCAUUCCAGCCGCAGCAGUGCCUGGAUGGCUCCUCCCCGGGGGCCCCAGCCAGCAGGAAGUUGAGAGUGGAAGAAGAAAGAGGGAACAGUGGAACUGAACCCCACGUGCUCAAAUCAACACCCGGCCUAGCUCUUAAAGAGAGCUCAACCCUGGCCCCGCAUCUGAAUCUCCUGGGAAACUUAAAACACACCCAUGUCCUGGAGCAAUGAAGUAAGAAACCUGUCGCCAUAGGAUUAGAAGUUCACUUCUUCCUUGUGUCCUUGUUAUAAAAAUGUGCAGCUUUAGGAACAACGCAAGAAUGUAUUUUGGCUUUAUUGGGCCAUUCUAAAAGUUCAGAAAAUCGGUCUAAGGACAGCUGAGUGAAGUGAGUUCCUUUCACAGUCCACAGAAAUGAAGCCCGGACCCCAGUGCCUCGACGUGGUCUUUGUCAGGCUCCAGUCUCCCACCCUCAGCCUUAGUUCCUCAGUCUUCACGUUGAUGGGUACAUAUCACCUCCUACAGUUAACUCAGUAAGUCAAGGGAGUGGCACGAGACUAAGUCCAGACCCCCCAAGACCCCAAAUCACAGAGAAGUCAGUGAUUACAUCCUCUAUACUUCCCAUCCCAAUGCUCAACUCUGUUUUAAAAUUGUCUCAGGAACUCCAGGCCCCAGUCAACACAAUUGUUAACAUCCAUUCUACCCAUAGACCCCAGACAGACCAGAGCCCACUCCACCAUCACAAAAUAUGCCAGUCUCCCAUCGCUGACCAAUCAAAGGAGGGCUACAAGCACUGUGGACCAACCAGAGACUCUUACAUGAGCUGAUCUCACACUGCACAAACCCAGAUUUGAUCUACGAGAUGCAAUGCCCUUAACCUUCAGGGAGUUCAGGAAUGUAACCACAGCCACCUGACUCCUUGCUCUGCACUUUGCAGAAUAAACUACUUCCUUGUGCCCCCCUAGUAUCAGUGACCAGCUUGCUGCGUGUUGAGUGAGUGGAUCCAGGUUUGGGGCUUCUACAACACAUCUAGAAUAUUCAGGAUCACGAACUCUUGAGUUUUAGCCUGGCCUAGAGUUGACCAUUGUAAACUGUUUUUAAAAUGCACAUUGCAUUGAUGAGAGUCCUUUGGGUUACAAGCAAUAGAAAUCAACUUGGGCUAAAUUGAAAAUAACGUACAGGAAAGCCACUGGCUGACCCACAGAAAGACAAAACUAUGGGCAGAAUUUGAGACGCUCCCAUUGGAAUGGUGCAGCAACGUUCUGUGGGAUCUUUCUUAAUCUGG